GGAAUCUUCUACCACAAGGUGUCAAGAUUAAUAACAGAUUCCAAGCUAAAACAAUUAUGGCAAGGCAACAUACUACAGCAAACACACCAGAGACCAACAACAAUUGUCAUGGAUUUCCCUCCACGGAUGCAAAUUGGCACAAAGCUGGCUUGGCUCAGUUGGAGCUGGGCAAUGUGAUACACCUUUGGCUACAGACCAAUGUAACUUGAUCAUCAGUUCAGAGAGACCCUAAUUUAAGAAAUUCAAUCCGAGUGCCAUCAUGGAUGACAGAGCUGAGUUAUAUUUGCUUCCCUCGAUACACAUGUGUGAAUCCCAUUAGUGUAAAUGGGAUAUAAAUGUGUAUAUAUUGAGGGUAAGAUAGACUCACAAGAAAAAUACAUG